rnacentral:rRNA from 1 species
AUCGGGAGGGAAGCUUGCUUUCCUUGCCGGCGACCGGCGCACGGGUGAGUAACACGUAUGCAACCUGCCCUCUUCAGGGGGACAACCUUCCGAAAGGGAGGCUAAUCCCGCGUAUAUCGGUUUCGGGCAUCCGAGAUCGAGGAAAGAUUCAUCGGAAGAGGAUGGGCAUGCGGCGCAUUAGCUAGACGGCGGGGUAACGGCCCACCGUGGCGACGAUGCGUAGGGGUUCUGAGAGGAAGGUCCCCCACACUGGUACUGAGACACGGACCAGACUCCUACGGGAGGCAGCAGUGAGGAAUAUUGGUCAAUGGGAGAGAUCCUGAACCAGCCAAGCCGCGUGAGGGAAGACGGCCCUAUGGGUUGUAAACCUCUUUUGUCGGAGAACAAAACCCGGGACGAGUCCCGGACUGCGUGUAUCCGAAGAAAAAGCAUCGGCUAACUCCGUGCCAGCAGCCGCGGUGAUACGGAGGAUGCGAGCGUUAUCCGGAUUUAUUGGGUUUAAAGGGUGCGUAGGCGGUCCGUUAAGUCAGCGGUAAAAUUGCGGGGCUCAACCCCGUCGAGCCGUUGAAACUGGCAGACUUGAGUUGGCGAGAAGUACGCGGAAUGCGCGGUGUAGCGGUGAAAUGCAUAGAUAUCGCGCAGAACUCCGAUUGCGAAGGCAGCGUACCGGCGCCAGACUGACGCUGAGGCACGAAAGCGUGGGGAUCGAACAGGAUUAGAUACCCUGGUAGUCCACGCAGUAAACGAUGAAUGCUGGUUGUCCGGGUCGAAUG